GCGUUCAUGGUGUAAUAGUCAACACGCUCGGCUCCUAAUCAAGAGGUCCAGGUUCAAGUCCCGGCGAGUAUC
rnacentral:tRNA from 1 species